CUUUGCUCCUACAUGGGACUGUCCCUUUAACCCAUUAAACAUGUCGCUGUCAUUAGGUCACUUUGCUCCUACAUGGGACUGUCCCUUUAACCCAUUAAACGUGUCGCUGCCAGGUGCUUUGCUCCUACUUGGGACUGUCCCUUUAACCCAUUAAACAUGUCACUGUCAUUAGGUCACUUUGCUCCUACAUGGGACUGUCCCUUUAACCCAUUAAACAUGUCACUGCCAUUAGGUCACUUUGUUCCUACAU